rnacentral:rRNA from 1 species
CAGAACCCCGAUUGCGUAGGCAGCUGACUAGGCUGGUACUGACACUGAGGCACGAAAGCGUGGGGAGCAAACAGGAUUAGAUACCCUGGUAGUCCAUGCCGUAAACGUUGGGCGCUAGGUGUGGGGUCCUAUCCACGGAUUCCGUGCCGCAGCUAACGCAUUAAGCGCCCCGCCUGGGGAGUACGGCCGCAAG